CCAUCUCUUCAGUUUGAAUGUCCUGCCUAACCUUAUUCUGCCUUGCCAUUGGCCAAACAGCUUUAUUUAUCAACCAGUCAGAGCGACCCAUAUUCACAGUGUACAGAAAGACAUCCCACAACAGCCCCACAACAGAGUCUUGACAGGAAAUGGGAGCUGGGGAGGUAAGGCUAGCCAAGAAACCUAAAAGACCCAGGAAAAUGGCAGUCACUCCAAGAAGAGGUGGACUAGGAGAGGCAGGUGUCUGUGUGAACUGUGCAGGCAGAGCCCAGUGUGGAAACGUCCUUUAAGACCAUGGUAGAGAAGAGCCUGGCCCUGCAUUGGUUGACCCUGGCAGCCCAGCUUCACUGUUUUCUGGGCAGGGAAAGGCACUGGCUCUUUGGCUCACUGACCAGUCCUGAAGUAGAGGGGCUUCCUUCCCCUCUCUUACUGACCUAAAACCAAUGUCACUUGUUUACCUGGUGCCGUGCCUAGGAACUAGAAAAGCAUCCUGGAGUCAGCUGCAGACCCUGGGUCUGUCUGGGGUCCCAUUUUGUCACCUCCUGUCAUCCACACUAGUAGUCCCAGCCUCACUCUCCCACCCUCUGCCUGCUUUAGAGAUCAGUGGCCAGGCAGAGGGUGGGCACAUGCAUGUGGUACUCCUUAGGCCAGGGUCCAGUUGGAGGGACAUGGACAUGGACACUCGCCACUUAGCUCUUAGUAAUUGUUAGCAGCGACAUUGAUGCCAGGGAGAGACUUGACUUAUUCAGGGCUAUCCAGCUGGUCUAGUCUCAGAGGGGCCCUUGGGGACCACCUCCUGCUCACACGGUCAUUCUCUUGGAUCGGGAGUCUCCUUUAUUACAUUAGUGUUAGGGCUGUUCCAGUUGCACUGUCUUGGCCCAGCAGCUCUGGCAUGGUACGCUCGGCUCAUACAUUGGGAUCUACCCUAAGGGAAGCUGGGCAUGCCUGCUUCAGCCCUGCUCUCUGGGGGGCCCUGGAGCCCCCACCAUCAGGACAGUGAACACUUGGCUUGCACCCAGCCCUGGACUUGGAGCAUUUGUCCCAGCAGCUUGCCACAUACCCAGGAAACUCACGGCCAGAACGUGAGAUUAUGGGGCUGUCUGCAGGGCACUAUGGUAGUCAGAGGUGCUUUAUCAAGCAGCUGAUGCUGGUGAUGUGGAGUCGGGUGAAGGAGGAAGCCACAAAAGGAAGUGAGAGAAGUUGAACACUUGGGAGUCUGAGGCACGAAGAUUAGGAAUUCAAGUACAUCUGGGCGUGGUGGCUCACCCCUCUAGUCCCGGUACUUGGGGAGCAGAGGCAGGCUGGUCUCUGAGUUUGAGGUUAGCCUGGUCUACAGAGCAAGUUCCAGGACAACCAGGGCUACACAGAGUUCUAGGACAGCCAGGGCUACACAGAGUUCCAGGACGGCCAGGGCUAAGGGCUGGGGAAUCCAACUCAGUGGAGAAGGCUUACCUGAUGUGCACGUACAAGUCCUGGGUUCCAUCUCCAACACAACAGAAGAGACAGAAAGGGCAGAAGGCUGACUGUUUGGCUCAGCAGUGAGGGUGCCUGCUGCCGAGCCUGAGCUUGAUCCCUGGGACCUACCUGAUGGAGGUAGGGAACGCCUUCCUGCAGGCGCCUUUGACUUUUGCUAGCUUGCCACGACACACCCACAUUUCCCCACCCAUAUGAAAUAAAUAAGGAGAGAGAGAGAGAGAGAGAGAGAGAGAGAGAGAGAGAGAGAGAGAGAGAGAGAGAAGGCAGGCCACAGAAGAGCAGCUGGUGCACAGGCCCUGAGAACAGAAGGCUGUGGCCAGUCACUGGUCGGCAAAGGCCCAGUGGCUUGGCAGACCAAGGAAGCAGGGAGAUAAGUUUGGAGAGGGUCACGAUGAGACCUCAGGACCUUCUGUUUGGUUCAAGGGGCUGCUCAAAGGAGAGGCAAGCUCUUUCACUGUAGAAAUUAUGGUGGGGCUGCCGCCUGGAGGGCCAAGGCCUGGGGGCCUGGGAAGGUCGUUACUGUUGUCCAGAUGAGGAGUCAAUGAGGCGGGCGGGCGGGAUGGUAGCAUUCCAGGUGGGGACAUGUGGUACUGGGUGGGCACAGGUGCUACUCUGAAAGCAGGAGCCUUGAUUUCUGAUGAGCUGGGUGUCAAGGGCAACUCCCAGGUUCCGGGCAACUGGGUGGAUUGACUGAGCUGGGAAGGUGACAUGAGGGUGGAGAACAGGUUUCAGGGCAGAGACUCAUGCGCUACAAUGAGCAAGGAGCAUGGGGCCUACCCAUGUGACAUGCAAAUUGGGGAGGGGGUGUUGCUGAGCAGGCUGUGAGCCAUUCAAGACUGGGCUGGUGCCUGCUGCAGGCUGGCCCUGUACGGAUGGGAGUUGCCGUGAGCAGUUGACUGCUUAAGGUCACGGGCGUGCAUGGUGUCCCUGCAGGAGGUGUGCAGGGUGAGGGGGCUCAGGACAAAGCCCUGGGGACCUGUUGUGCCAGGCAGGUCUCCUUCUUGUUCUCUGUUGCCUGUUGAGCCAGGACUGAUGAUUUGCUGUGGGGUGCUGUCUGGAUAGGUGGAUGGUCAGUGCCGUCCUGUGGGGUGCUGUCUGGAUAGGUGAUGGUCAGUGUCGUCCUGUGGGGUGCUGUCUGGAUAGGUGAUGGUCAGUGCCGUCCUGUGGGGUGCUGUCUGGAUAGGUGAUGGUUAGUGCCGUCCUCAUGGGGUGCUGUCUGGAUAGGUGAUGGUCAGUGCCGUCCUCGUGGGGUGCUGUCUGGAUAGGUGAUGGUCAGUGCCGUCCUGUGGGGUGCUGUCUGGAUAGGUGAUGGUCAGUGCCGUCCUGUGGGGUGCUGUCUGGAUAGGUGAUGGUCAGUGCCGUCCUUGGCUACCCCCUGCUAAGCACGUCUCGCCCUUCCACCAUGUCUCUAGACAAAUGUCUCCAAGUGGCAGUUCAUCCUGGGUAAGAAAGAACUACAGGUUGGGGCUGGGGACGUGGCUCAGUGGUUAAGAGCACAUGUUCUUCUUGCAGAGGAUCCAGGCUUACUUCCCAGAACCCACAUGACAGCUCACAACCAUCUGUAACUCCAGGUCUAGGGGAUCUGACUUCUGCAGGCUCCAAACACAUCUAUGGUGCACAUACAUGUACAAACACACUCAAACACAUAUAUGGUGCACAUACAUGUACAAACACACUCGUACACAUAAAAUAAAAAUGGGGUAAAAUAAAAUGAACUACAGGUAUAGAGCAUGGAUGAAAAACUAUGAAGGGGCCCAAGAGAGAGAUAGAGAGAUUGAGGAAAAGGCCAGAACAUGGACCCCAUAUGUCAAAGAGGCAUUGAAAGGAAAGAGAGGUUAGGCAUGAUGGAACCCGCUUUUAAUCCCAGCACCAGGGAGGCAGAGGCAGGUGGAUCUCUGUGAGUUUGAGGCCAGCCUGGUCUACAGAGUGAGGUCCAUGAUAGCUAGGGCUACACAGAGAAAUCUUGUCAUAAAAAAAAAGAAAGGAAAGAAAGAAAAAGAACAGGAGGAGGAGAAGGCUGCUUGAAUCAAAUGCUGCCGUGGAGUAGUGAGGCAAGGGUCAGAAAUAGCCACUGACUUUGGGGACAUUAUGAUCCCAGGUGACCCUGAGAAUGGCUUCCAGACAGGACACCCUCUGUGGAAUCUUGAGGGAGAGUCAAGACACUGGGGGAGGGCAGCCUCCCAAGACUGUUGGCAGCUCCUGACCAUCACAUUUUUAUUGAGGGGUGACAUGUGAGGCAGGGUAUACACAGGGGAUGUAAGGACUCGGGGUACACACAGGGAUGUAAGGACUCGGGGUAUACACAGGGAUGUAAGGACUUGGGGUAUACACAGGGAUGUAAGGACUCGGG